UCCCUCGUGGCGCAAUUGGCUAGCGCGUCAGACUGUUAAUCUGGAGGCUGUAAGUUCGAUCCUUACCGAGGGAG
rfam:Neurospora crassa OR74A linkage group IV, whole genome shotgun sequence.